CACGUAGAAGACUAGUGUUAUUCAUCUUUUAUUAGGUUUAAAGGGUACCUAGACGGAAAAUCAAGCCAUAAUAGGGACUAAUUUUCUAGAGUUUUUAUGAAAGAAGGGGCGAAUUUCCGGAGGAAAAGUUGAUAUUUUUGUGAUACUGGAAGGACGGGUAACGGCGAAGGCAACCUUUUAUGUAAAAAACUGACGUUGAGGGACGAAGCCUUGGGUAACGAGAAGG
rnacentral:rRNA from 1 species